CUUUGGAUUAAAACCACAAAAGCACAAGUUUUCAAUGCUUAAAACUAUAUUCAAAUAAAGACCCAUAUACACGAUGAAGAGAAAAUCUCUAAUAAUUUAUUUGACCUUCAGUUUCACAUUGUGAAAAAAAAAAAUACAGUUUUACAAAACCUCAAAAAUGUAGCAAACAAGUACAUAUGAACACGAACACUUCUUCAACUUACACAGAGUUUUGUACGUGAACCACAUAUUCAAUAACCAAGAGAAGGAUAUUAUUCAGCUCUAAUCAUUCUUAUUCAGACAGGUGUCAAGCCCAGAGAAAAGGGGGCUACACAAUUAUACCAGAAGUGGAAGGCUGCCCUUUGUUAUCUGUUUCCACAGCAACCAGUCCACAGAAUAAGAAGAACCUUCUCUGUCUUAUGCCAAGGUUUUUGUGUGCACUGUGCUGUGAAUUGUAUUUGCUUCAAAGCGCGGGACGUUUCACAGGGUGAGAAUGGUCAAGUAGCGAGCCCAAAUGCCUCCAUCAAUUCAAAGAGCAGAGAGUCCAGAAAGUUCCCUGCAGGCUGGGGGCCCACCCUGAUCACAGCUCCCUCUGGCUCACACACAGCAAUUAAGAGAGGAUUCAAGGACACACCACAACUUUGAACCAGCUGCAGAAAAUUCACCCCGCUUUCAGAAGCCACACAGUGACACCCACAUCUUGGCAGCUUUGCAUCAUAAACCAUACAGGGCUGUAAAUACUACAAUAUUAAGGACACCGACUAUGCCGCCAGGGUACAGACAUUUGCAUUGCUCAGAACACAUCCAGGAGCGAGGGACUGACUGCCAGAAAUUAUUUUGGUCCAACUAUAGCCCACCUAUCCAUGGCACAGAUGGACACGUACAAUCAGUCUAAAUUAUUCAGGUGGAGAGAGAUCUGAAGGAUGUAUGUCAUUAGACAAUGCAAACACACCAAGAUGUAAGAUUAGGCGUCCCUUUUGUGCACCAAAGAGUUUUUCAGGGACUUCCCUAAGAGGGAGCACUAAAGUAUCCUUUGUACCAAUGUGCAUAUUGCCUUGGAGAACUUUUAGCACUUGUUAUAUCAUACAGCAGAGAGCGAGAACAAGGAAGUCAGGUCAAGCAAAUCCCGUCAGUGAAUUAAUUUCUGUCUGUGAGAGUUGUGUGGGUUUUUGUCUUUUUUCCCUGUUAACUGUGGUUAUGGCAAAGCAUUCGCAUAAGGUAAUAAAUAGAUUAAAUAAAUAAACUUUGGGACAAUGCCUCUACCUGUGCCCUAUAUACAGAACCAUUCUAUAGAAUUUUCCAAGAUUUCAGGAUACGACACAAAGGAAAAAAACUGCAGAGUGAUUUGGUCCUUUCCAAAUUUCAGGAGCGAAUCAGACAAGGAGGAGGAGGGCAGAAAGAAGCCUUCCCUUUUGCCCCUAGAGCCAUGGGCAUGACCAGAGCCCACGAAACCCCAGGAAAAGUUGGUGAGUCUAAGAAAAAAUGACCUUCAUGCUUCUCCACAUCUAGGAUGUAACUUAACUUUCCGUCUUGUAAUCCUUCCCUGUCUUGACAUUUACAAAAUCCCCCCCAACCCCCCCUCCAGUUAUGCUCCUAAUUCUAACCCCCCGUUUUCACUUUUGUGCAGCAAAGCACAUCACAACAGUCACGAAAUUGUGCAAAACAUACAACCAGUUCCCAUAGUCCAUACACGUGAGGGCAACUGUAAGCACUGUUUCGGCAUGCAGGCCUCAAACAAUAAAUAGCUAAAUCUAGAACA
rnacentral:lncRNA from 1 species